GUCAGGUAGUUGACUUCGGAAUUCGGCUCUUGAUUGAGCAGAUAUUGAGAUAUAACAAUAUCGAAUUCUGAGGAAGGUCCGGACACUAUCAAAGGUUACCAAGUGAAAACCUGGAUGUCGCGAGGCAUGGCUCUGGAACAGAAACGGCACAGCCAGCAAUGAACAAUGAAACAUGCGUGGAGUCCUGAUUUGUUGGAUUUGAUGAAACGGCCAUCCUUACUGGUGCAAGUCUUUGAGACGCUAAGUUGAAUGUCCACACGAACUGUUCGAUUACGAAGUUCGACAGAAUCUGGCCUAUUCCUGAC
rnacentral:RNase_P_RNA from 1 species